rnacentral:lncRNA from 1 species
CGUUGUCAAACAUCUUCUCGCAGUUGGGGUCCAGGGUCCAGUAAUUGCCUUUACCUGCAGAAGAAGAAACAGCCCAGUUCAGAAGGUUCGAGCUUUGACGGGCCGUGGUGUGAGCCAGCGAGGAGGUCAGCUUCAGAAAGAUCCCCUGCUGGCCCUUACAGAGGGUCUGAGUCCUCGCCCCCAUUCCACCCUUGACGGGCACUCUGUACCCGAUGGGCCUCCACAGCAGGACUGGGAAGAAAGUGACAAUCCAGAAAGGAGGAGGAAGGGAGCCCUGGGAAAGGCCGAGCCCCGUUAAGGUGAAGGAAGGCCUGCGAGAUGCUAAUGGUGGGACUCCGCCAGCCGCUCUGCCAAGGACAGCGCAGACCACGCCAGGCCCCCAGGAUCAUCUGAAAGCCUAUGGGAAACUCUUACCAGUCCACACGUUUGCUUUGCACCUUAUUUGAACAUUAACUGCUGCAGAAUUCCAGUGGUGCCAGGCAUUUCGAAUAUCCUAAACUGGACACUUGCCCUGAAAUAAUGUAAUUGUGCUGCAUAAAUACUUUUAUGCCUGUGAACUCAACUGAGUUAAAUAUUAACUGUAAAG